rnacentral:rRNA from 1 species
CAGUAGCCGCGGUAAGACGGAGGAUGCAAGCGUUAUCCGGAAUGAUUGGGCGUAAAGCGUCUGUAGGUGGUUUAUUAAGUCUACUGUUAAAGCACAGGGCUCAACCCUGUAUAGGCGGUAGAAACUGGUAGGCUUGAGUAUGGUAGGGGUAGAGGGAAUUCCCGAUGUAGUGGUGAAAUGCGUUGAUAUCGGGAAGAACACCAAAGGCGAAAGCACUCUGCUGGGCCAAUACUGACACUGAGAGACGAAAGCUAGGGGAGCAAAUGGGAUUAGAUACCCCUGUAGUCCCUGUCUCUUAUAA